rnacentral:tRNA from 1 species
GCCUCAGUAGCUCAGCAGGUAGAGCGUUGCCUUGGUAAGGCAAAGGCCGUGGGUUCGAUUCCCACCUGAGGCU